GUGAGCACAGGCCCACAUCCUUGUAUGGGUUUCGGUGGAGGGACCCGUGUCCCUGCCGCGUGUUCCGUGUGACCAGACCCAGAGGACUCAGCUCGGGAGAGGGCAGCGCAUGGCCCACCAGGCCGGGGUCCCAUAGCAACAGCAGCCGCCGGAGCUCAUCCUGCCUCCCCCAUGUCGUCUGCCAGCUCAGGGCGGCACAUACGCCUGUGACUCUCAUCCAGGUCCCCACCCCACUGGACAUCCGGCCCGCCUAAGCCCAGCCUCUACUAUAGGAAUCCUGGGUCGGCUGACACCGUGCCCCAGGGCAGCCGCUGUGUUCCAUUUUGCAGGUUGUGGAGUCACCAAGGGGUGGAACUGGGAUGUGAACUCAGGAAAUUUGACCCGCAGCCUCUGCUUCGCUGUCCGCAUGGGGUUGCCCACGAUCCUCAUGCAGCCCUCUCUCCACGGCCUCUGUCCAGUCCCUUCUUUGGAGUACUCCAUUUCAGAUUCUUCUAGACCUCGUAAGUACGCAGGCCAGAGGGGUUGUCCCACUUGCCUGAGGUUACACAGAACCCUAGUGUUGGAUGAAGACACCCAGCUCCAAAGUCCUAGGAUGUAGGUGGCAUUCCUGGAAGGAGGGUGUGGCUCCCGUGAGAAGUGAUGUGUCUGAGACAGUCGUGUGUUGUCCUACACCCAGACAAAGAAGGUGAUCCCAGGAAACAGCCGGGCAUGUACAUCCCGGCCUGGAAAGGCUUGGCCAGCAGCCCUUUCCCUCACCGGCCCUGUGCUCAGCGGCAGAAAACCUUUCUAAAGAGGCCACCAGCAGGCCCAGUGAUUGGUGGCUGGGAAGCAGAUUCAGGAGGCACCCAGGGACACUGCCCAUCGGGACUCAUAGUCCUGCUGGGAGAUGGACAUGUCACAAAGGGGAAAAGGUAGAGCGGGCCCUCCCGGGCCUCCUCCUGCUGUAAUCAGAGCCCAAACCCCACAUCCAGGGGCUCCCCAGAGGGAUUGUGCGUGGCGGGAGCUCCCUCCUGGGGCCCUGGGGCCUGGCUCCUGUGAUGGUCUCCUGGCCUACAACCCGGGAGUCGGAUCACGCUGCCCACGCUCGUCGGUGCCAGGGUUGGGGGAGGGAAGGUACAGACAGGGUGGAUGGGACCCGGCAGUGCACUCAGUCAGACGGCCCGGGAAGAGCAUCGGGGUCUCGGGCAGCUCCUCCAAGGCCCCAAACUGUCUAGGUUCAUCCGAGCCUUUGGCUGUCAGGACAGGAAAAUGCAAUUUAUCAUCGGAGUGGAUAAAGAGCCACUCUUCUGAAAGGAGCCGGAGACCGGCCACCUUCCUGGUCGCUGCCACCGCCAGAGUCGGUGCUUGGUGGCAGGAGGGUGGGCACAGGCGCCAGGCUAGAGGGAGCAGCGGAAGAAGAGGGGGACUUUUCCACGGCCGGAAGGGGUGCCAAGCCUUGAAAUGACCAGAGGGACUGAAGCUAACACUGCACUUCCCAUGUGGGUGACACAGGGGCUGCAAACUCAACCCCUCAGAGGCGCCAGUCUGGCCAGCGAGGAGAGAGCCGGCAGUGUCACCCAGGUGAAGAGAGAGCCUUCACUGCCACCUGCUGGACACACAGCAGGAGCAUUUCCAGUGGACCCUGCAUCCCCAAAGAAGGAAACACCUUCUUUCCAGGCCAGGCCACAGAGAUGGAACUUUUGCUGAGACGCCUGGGCAAGAGACAGCCUCUGUCCACUGGGAUGAAAUGGGAUCAAAGGCUCUCAGGAAGCCAUUUUCCUCCCUCAUGGAGUAAGCCACAUGCACAGGAAGCCCUCACAAUGGAAGCGUAUCCAGGGGACGGAGAGAUGCAGAAUCCUAAUGACAGCACUUGAACCCCUGGAUCCAGCUAUACCUGAACCCAUGUAACACUUCUCAUUAACAUGAGCCAAUAAAUCCCCCAUUAUGCUUAAGCCCAGCUUGAACUGGGUUUCCACUACUAUUUGGUAGAACCAUGGUACCUAUAAAUGGUGCCCACCUUCUCCUCCCCACUUUCUUCUCCAAGCCCAGGGUCAGAGUAUGUCUUGUAGUGACAUUGGCACCCUCUCCACUCUAAUGUCCAAAGGAGCUUCCCUUCCUCCCACUCUCUGCCCCUUUCUUGGUGGCAGUUGCUUCCAGCCCCUCUCCCUCCUGAUCCCCCUGCCUCCUCUCCUUACCCGCUGACCAGGGGCUGGGUGGGCCUGAGGGGCUUGAAUCUGGGCUUGGGCUGGCCUCCAGUGACAUGAGGCUGUCAUCCUGGACGCCAUAAUGGUUGUUCCCAAGGAGCCAGUACGUUUUCAUCUUCCCUAUGCCCUGAGAGGGGGGACCAAGGCCACACUGACCGACUCAUUGACUGCCCAUUCCGUCAGCUUCUGGGAGGAGAAGCAUCGGACUGCUUCCUGGGGGCAAGACCACGUCUCCCACCCCCUGGGCUACCUCAUGGAUCAGAACAGGGCAGACGCUCAGGAAACAUUCAUGGAACCAAUGAAUGACCCACAGCGGCCUCUCAGAGGUCCUCACCAAGCACAGGAAGGGAUGGCAUGGAUGAUCCAGGGCCACAAAUGAUCCCAGAGUCUUCUAGAUUCGUCUGGGUAACCUGUUACUAUGUGUGCAGCCAACUGUCCAUCCCAACUGUUCUUGUCUUGUGUUAUUAAUCCAACCUAGUUUUCUGGGCUGCCCUGACUGGGUUUUGUAGGCACAUAGGCUGAGCCAACCAGGGUGAUGACAAGAGAAGGAAUCAUGGCUGAGAAAGAGAAAUGCAGCCCCCGACCUUCGGGAGCUGACUGGGCACUCACGGCUGGGCCCUGGUGCUCUCCUGUUGAACAUAAUGUCACGGAACAUCAGUGUCAGACAAGGCCACUCUGUGACCACGUGGCUCAACACCAAAAAGAUCCCCCGUAAUCAUGUCUGAACACAGACAAAGCAGGAAUAUUGUCCAAGCCGCAAAUACAAACAUCCCCUCUCCCAGCUCAUGAGUGACUGCUAUUUCUUCACCAGUUAUAGCUUUGGCCUCGCUUCGGUCUCCCUCCCUACAGAGAAAACGUGUUGAGAUACGGAAUCAUUGAAUCGUCCCUGCUAUCUGACAGCACCCAACCCAGAGCAAAGCCCCACUUCCUUAGACUUUCCCCCAAAUCACCCAAGUUAAGCCUGAGUCCUCUAAGUCUUUUCUACACUCUCCUACUGAAACGCCCC
ensembl:lncRNA